rnacentral:rRNA from 1 species
GCGCAGCAGUCGCGAAACCUCCGCAAUACACGAAAGUGUGACGGGGCCAUCCCGAGUGCCGUCCGCUGAGGACGGCUUUUCCCCAGUGUACACAGCUGGGGGAAUAAGGAGAGGGCAAGCCUGGUGUCAGCCGCCGCGGUAAUACCAGCUCUCCGAGUGGUGGGGACGCUUAUUGGGCCUAAAGCAUCCGUAGCCGGCUGGGCAAGUCCUCCGUUAAAUCCAACGAUUCAAUCGUUGGGCUGCGGGGGAUACUGUCCAGCUUGGGGGCGGGAGAGGCCGACGGUAUUCCCGGGGUAGGGGUGAAAUCCUAUAAUCCCGGGAGGACCACCAGUGGCGAAGGCUGUCGGCUAGAACGCGCCCGACGGUGAGGGAUGAAGGCUGGGGGAGCGAACCGGAUUAGAUACCCCGGUAGU